GCGCCCGUUCAGGGAGUAGCGUCGUCAGGACCGGGUGCUGACUGCACGUGCAGGGAAGGCAGGAGCGUCCACGCGGCCCUGGGGCUCCAGCCAGUAGGCGUGUUGUGGUCGUGAUCAGGGGACCGAGGAGGAACAGGCGCAAGGCGGGUGGAGGGCACUUCCGGUUUGGGCGUGGCUGCCCUGCGUGCGGCGCCCCGCGGGCAUCCAGGGGGAGUGACCAGCAGGUGUUUGAACCGGGUCUGCGGCCGCAGAGGGAGCUCUGGCAGGAGACACACGUCUGUGGGUUGGGCGGUUGAAACCAGGGGGACAGGAGAUCUUGCCCAGGGACGGCGUUUGAACGUGACAAGGACCGAAGGCCGAAGAUGGGGCCUCAGUCGGAGUAGGAAGAGUGAGAGUCUGCAAUGGAAGCUGGGGAUUUUCUUCUUUAUCAUCCCAUCCACAGCACCUCAAACACUGUUGGGCACAUAGUAGGACCACGGCAAGAGUCCACUGGCGUUGAGAGUCGUGCAUUCAUUUCCAAACUCAGGAGCGAUUGGACAGGCCGAGUCUAUGGGUCAGAGCAUCUUUAUGCUUGAGAGGGCUUUGAUACUUCCGGCUUUGUUUUCGGGCUCUCACAGCUGAUCAUCAUCCCCUUACGAUGGACCGAGGCUACCUUGGGAUCUGCCAGCUCCUGUUUUGUCUUCUGCACAUAUUUUUCCAGCCUCGUCUGCUUUGCUGGGGACUCCCUCCCCGAUUCGGAUUACAUCACCCCUGCCCUCUCCCCUGCCCACCACUCUGGGGUGAGCAUAUCAACAACUCAGCCUCCCGGGUCACCGUGACUGCCGCGGGGAUGUGCCUGUGACCUGAGUAGGGAAGCAGUAUCUUUGUGAGGUUGAUACGUGGACACUGAGAGCGGAGGUUUGUUUGCAAAACUGACCACCACAACAACCGCUCCCUUCCUAUUUGUCCCUUUGUGAUGUGACUUUCUGUGCUUCCCAUCAAGAGGUGGAAUCCAUUUUCCCUCCCCUUGAAUUGGGGCUGGUCCCAUGGAUGGGGUCCCAGAGCUGAUGGCCAAGAAAGAAUUCUUGAGAUGCUUUUGGUGCAAAAAAGGUGACUUUAUUUUAUUUUUUUUAUUAAAAAAAUUUUUUAAUCUUUAUUUAUUUUUGAGAG